rnacentral:rRNA from 1 species
UCUCUGGUCUGUCACUGACGCUGAGGCGCGAAAGCGUGGGUAGCAAACAGGAUUAGAUACCCUGGUAGUCCACGCCGUAAACGAUGACUGCUAGGUGUUGGGGGUUUCGAGGCCUUUAUGGCCCAAUUUAACACAUUAAUCACUCCCCCGGGGGAGUCGGGCCGCAGGGUAAAACCUCAAUGGAAUUGAGGGGGCCCCCCACAACCGGGGGACCAGGGGUUUAAUUUCAAACCACCGCAAAAAACUUUCCCACGUUUUGACUUUUCUUGACCACUCUGGAAUCUUAGUGUUCCUUUCGAACCAAAGGUGACAGGUGGUGGGUGGUUGUCGUC